AGCCAUGUAUUAAAAGUGGGUAAUGUAUAUGUACAUAUAUAUCUCUAUUAAUAUUAGUAUAUAUUAAAAAUACAUAUUUGCAACAAUAUAAAAUUUUAACUGAGUCUUUUGAAAGCAGCGAGUCAACCUAAUAUGUACAUAUAUAUUAUAUAUUAUUCAUGUUUAUUAACAAAGCCAAUAUUAUAUUAAAAAAAAAAAAAAAAAAAAAAAAAAAAUUAUUAUAUGUUUACUCGACCAGUUGAGUAACAGUUUUAUAACAUAUCAUUUAAUCAAUUAAAUAUAUAAGCAAAACGUACAUUAAUAUUUAUAUAUAUGUAUAUGUAUAUGUAUAGCAGCAUUUUUUUUUUUUUUUUUUUUCUUUUUUUUUAAAUCCUUUAGAUUAUAAUAUCUAUAUAACAAAAGAGUUAAAAAAAAAAAAUGUCAAAAACAACCGUUGUGUUUUAUCAUAUAAUUAAUGAUAAAGAAGACAAAAAUUCACAAAAUGUAUUUUAUAUUUGUAAGCCAAUAAAUUUGAUAACAUUAAAUGACAUUAAAAAUGAAUUUCCUUUAGUAGGAACGUAUCAUUUCAGAUUUAAAAUUAUUCAUAACAAUACUCCAGUAUGGGUAGAUAUAAAUGACGGGUCUUCUCCUAUACCUAGUUUGAAUUCUUGUAUUUACGCAAAAGUUUUAAGAUUGAGUUGGUUGGACGAUAAAAAAACAUUAAAAAAAUUACCCGAAAAAAAACAAUCGAACAAGAUGUAUCAAAGUUGUAUAGUAAUGAAAAAAUUAAUUUACUAGUAAAGUCGAAAACAAAUGAGAGUUGCGAUAUAAACAAAACUAAAAAUAAUAUUGACAUGUUAUUAUUUGAAACAUCUCCUACUAAAUCCACAAAUGUGAAUGUUAAUAAGAAAAAAGGUAACUACUUAAAGUAUUGAUAAAAUACAUGUUCUGUGUGUUUAUUUUAUUUAAAACGUAUAUGUGUAUGUGAACAUAUAUAUAUAUAUAUAUAUAUAUAUAUAUAUAAUAAAAUACAAUCGUUUAGACA
rnacentral:lncRNA from 1 species